CACACCCAGAGCCAAAUGAACCAGUACCACCACCAGAACCAGUAGCCCCUAUUGUUGAUAGACAUCAACCUAGCUCAUCUGGAGGUAAAGUACAAAUGACGGAGUACUUGAAAUUGGAUGCUCCUAAAUACAACACGGGAGAUGAUCCAUUUGAUUACCUCAGAGCAGUUAGGAUGAUAACCAGUGAAUUGGGAGCAGAUGAUAGGAGAGCC
rnacentral:lncRNA from 1 species